rnacentral:lncRNA from 1 species
UGUCAUUCAAAGUUCUGAGUGAUUUACAAUUUUUAUUCUGUGUUGUGUGAUUUAAUUUCAAUCCUCUAAUAUUGUCACUCAUCCCAGUCAUGAGUGAAUGAAUGCCCACAGCCAUUUACAUUCUGUCUAAUCUUAUUUAAUUGAAUUUCAGUGGUAAAUUUAAUUACGAGCUCUCUCUGCGCACCAACCUAUACACAGAGAAGCACACUCAGUGGUUCUACUUCCAGGUGAGGAACACCCGUGUGUAGGUGCGUUACCGCUUCAACAUCGCCAAACUGCUGAAGGUGACCAGCCUGUAUGAGGAGGGGAAGCUGCCCCUGCUCUACUCUGAGGAGAAGGCCCAGGUCCAGGGGGUGGGCUGGCAUCUUGUGGGUCAACAGGCCUCCUACCAAUGUAAUGGGUGCCAGCACAACAACCAGCCCAGCUACACCCUCUCCUGGAUCUUUGUCUUCCCUUACUGCCAGCUGAUGGCUCCUCCAGCAGCACCCAGGAGGGAGCCUCCCAAAUGGAGAGAGAUACUAGUCCCCCCAGAGCCCAGCCUUCCAGAUAAGGUGUCUGUCCUAUACCUGUUCUUCGACACAGAGAGGUGCCACGAAAUCGAAGGUAUAUCCUCCUCUAUGUUUUACAGUGUAGCAUCGCUACUAAAUAAAUGUUGUUAUUGUGAAAAGGGUUCUGAGUUUGAAACCCGGGUUGGGAAAACUGAUUAUUUUUUUGUCUUGUUUGCAGU